rnacentral:rRNA from 1 species
AGAGCGAACGCUGGCGGCAGGCCUAAUACAUGCAAGUCGAACGGACCCUUCGGGGUUAGUGGCGGACGGGUGAGUAACACGUGGGAACGUGCCCUUUGGUUCGGAACAACUCAGGGAAACUUGAGCUAAUACCGAAUGUGCCCUUCGGGGGAAAGAUUUAUCGCCAUUGGAGCGGCCCGCGUCUGAUUAGCUAGUUGGUGAGGUAAAGGCUCACCAAGGCUACGAUCAGUAGCUGGUCUGAGAGGAUGAUCAGCCACACUGGGACUGAGACACGGCCCAGACUCCUACGGGAGGCAGCAGUAGGGAAUCUUGCGCAAUGGGCGAAAGCCUGACGCAGCCAUGCCGCGUGAAUGAUGAAGGUCUUAGGAUUGUAAAAUUCUUUCAGCGGGGACGAUAAUGACGGUACCCGCAGAAGAAGCCCCGGCUAACUUCGUGCCAGCAGCCGC